rnacentral:rRNA from 1 species
UACGAGGGGGGCGAGCGUUGUUCGGAAUUAUUGGGCGUAAAGGGUGCGUAGGCGGUUUGGUAAGUCUGAUGUGAAAUCUAUGGGCUCAACUCAUAGUCUGCAUCGGAAACUGCCGGGCUUGAGUGUGGGAGAGGUGAGUGGAAUUCCUGGUGUAGCGGUGAAAUGCGUAGAUAUCAGGAGGAACACCUGUGGCGAAAGCGCUCGUCUGGCCCAAUACUGACGCCGAUGCGCGAAAGCUAGGGGAGCAAACGGG